ACGCUGGCGGCAGGCUUAACACAUGCAAGUCGAACGGUAACAGGAAUUAGCUUGCUAAUUUGCUGACGAGUGGCGGACGGGUGAGUAAUGCUUGGGAAUCUGGCUUAUGGAGGGGGAUAACUACGGGAAACUGUAGCUAAUACCGCGUAAAAUCUUCGGAUUAAAGGGUGGGACUUUCGAGCCACCUGCCAUAAGAUGAGCCCAAGUGGGAUUAGGUAGUUGGUUAGGUAAAGGCUGACCAAGCCGACGAUCUCUAGCUGGUCUGAGAGGAUGACCAGCCACACUGGAACUGAGACACGGUCCAGACUCCUACGGGAGGCAGCAGUGGGGAAUAUUGCACAAUGGGGGGAACCCUGAUGCAGCCAUGCCGCGUGAAUGAAGAAGGCCUUCGGGUUGUAAAGUUCUUUCGGUGACGAGGAAGGUUGAUAGGUUAAUAGCCUAUCAAAUUGACGUUAAUCACAGAAGAAGCACCGGCUAACUCCGUGCCAGCAGCCGCGGUAAUACGGGGGGUGCGAGCGUUAAUCGGAAUAACUGGGCGUAAAGGGCACGCAGGCGGUGACUUAAGUGAGAUGUGAAAGCCCCGUGCUUAACUUGGGAAUUGCAUUUCAUACUGGGUCGCUAGAGUACUUUAGGGAGGGGUAGAAUUCCACGUGUAGCGGUGAAAUGCGUAGAGAUGUGGAGGAAUACCGAAGGCGAAGGCAGCCCCUUGGGAAUGUACUGACGCUCAUGUGCGAAAGCGUGGGGAGCAAACAGGAUUAGAUACCCUGGUAGUCCACGCUGUAAACGAUGUCGAUUUGGGGAUUGGGCUUUGAGCUUGGUGCCCGUAGCUAACGUGAUAAAUCGACCGCCUGGGGAGUACGGCCGCAAGGUUAAAACUCAAAUGAAUUGACGGGGGCCCGCACAAGCGGUGGAGCAUGU
rnacentral:rRNA from 1 species